rnacentral:lncRNA from 1 species
CAACAAACAACAAACAACAACAAAAACAACGAACAACAAGAACAAAACAAGAACAAGAACAAGAACAACAAGAACAACAACAACAAAAAGGAAGGCGACGACGGCGACGACAACGAUAACAACAAUGAUAAUGACAAGAAUAACAACAAUGACAACAACAACAACAACGACUACGACGACUAAAGUGACAACAACGACAACGACAACAUCAAUAACAACAACAACAACAACAAAAACAACGAAGACGACAACAAUGAUGAAAACAACGACAAUGAUGAGAACUACGAGAACAACGAGAACAACAACAACAAUGAAAACUGCGCAAACAGCGACAACAGUGACAACAGUGACAACAAAGCCAACAAC